rnacentral:lncRNA from 1 species
UUUUAGUGGCGUUUUCAAUUCAAACACCGCUAAAAACGCCAUUUAAAACCUGUUUUGCAGUAGUGUGACAAUGUCAGGCGUGGGCAGUUCUGGCAAUAUUGAUUCCAAUACUAUCACUUUUCCACACUCUGAUAUUGCUUCAUAAAAAUUUCUUAGCAAUUUCUAGCAUUCUUCGUCUCUUCAAUCGUGAAGUAUGCACUAAACCAACCACAAUACAUAUUUAUUAGUUUAAAUAAUGAUUAAAUGAAAUCCAUCUGAGUUAAUUCGUUGAAUCGUGAAGAUUGGAGUUGUGUGGUACUCGGUAGUGCCCACGGCAAGUUGUAACUAAAACAAUUUAUUUCUUAUUUUAUUUAGUUUAACAAUUUAAUGAAGAAAAUCUUUAAAUAUUAUAUUGAAGAUAUUAUGAUCCAUCUAUGGAAACCAAUCUUUGGCUUUGAAGAUUGGAUAAAAUUCGGGCGAGUCUCUUAAUUCCUUGAAAUGUGAAGAUUUGAUUGAGAUUGUGUUGAUUUUGAAAAGCAUAUCUUUGAUUGAUUGUGCUUUGAUUGUUAAUGAUAUUAUAACCAUUUUCAAAGGAGUUACUUUUUAAUCACUUAAACUCUAUGUUAGCAAGUUGAAAUUGAUAUAUACUUUGAGACUUGUCUAAGUUUUGUAUGAGAGCAUAUUGAGUUCAUUCUAAUAUGUUCAUUAAGAAAUUGUUUUUGUAAGAUAGUGCAAACUAUUAUUGUAAACAUUUUUGAGUGUUUAUUGCUCAAGUUUUGAGGAGAUGGUUUGGAAGUGAGUGGUGAGUGUUCUAAUCUUUAAGUACAAAAGUGAGAUCUCUAUGCUUAGGGAGUAAUAGAAUUUGAAAGAUUGUUGUAUUUAUAAUUAAAAAUAAUGAAAUUACUAAUUGAACUAACAUAAAAAAAAUCGAAUUACACAAAUAAACCUUUGGUAUUCUUUACUUUAUUUGUACAAUUUUCAAAGUGAUAAACCAUAAUGAGACUACAAUCAAGCACAUUUAUUUAUAAAUUUAUAUUUCAGCAAACAAGUAACUUCCAAUAACAACAUUAGUUUUCUAAUAAAGAAAUCAAACUUUAACAAAUAGAAAAUGAAAGUAUUAAUUUGAAUCACUGGUGAAAAAUAGAUUCUGAUUAAGUAUAUUCAUGUUACUCAUUGCUCAGUCUACAGGAUAAUAUAUAAAAAUUAAUUUUAUUUUAUUUGCUUUUGGUUAAUCAUCAAUCUCAUUGAACUAGAAAAAAAAUACAAUUAUAUAUAUAGAGAGAGAUAUGCCUAUUGUAAUUGACGAGAUUUGAACAUUUAAUCUUUUAAUAUUAUAUUAAACUUCAUAAUAUCAAGUCAACUGUAUUUUUAAUUAAUUAAUGCAUAUUAAUUUAAAAUUAAAACUAUUUUUUUAAUUUUUUUCAAAUUUGUUUUAAUAAAUCCAUCAAUUCAAUCAAUUGAAUUGAAAAUAAAAAAUCUUAUCAAUUUGGUAUAAACCUAUUUCUUUUUUAACCUUUACUUUGAAUAUAUAUAACCAUAAUAGAAUUUCACUAUGUAAUCAACCAAUCUUGCCCAGGCCCUUUUAAAAUAUUAAAAUAGGCCAAACAAAUAAAUUGAAUAAAAAACACCCAUAAAUAAAGAAUUCAAAUUCAGAAGUCCUAUGUCCAGUUACAAAUAUUUGGGCCAAAAUAACUUAAACCCAAAAUCCUUUAAUAUAGACCCAACCCAAUUACCAAAAUAACCCAUGACACAAUAAGUCCUAAAACCCAAUUCUAAUAAACUCAUAUCCUAAAUCUAGCCCAAACCCGAAAGAGCCCAAAAGAAAGAGAAUUUUAGUAGCAGCUCCUGGAAUACACUGGAAGGGCACCAGAGGGACGGUUUCCCACGCGAGAUCCCAGUGUGUGGCGUCCAUGUCACCGGGUCAUCUUCUCCGUACAACUGAGCCUGAAAAAGAAUGCACCAGAAGGAGCCAAUAACAGAUUUCACAGCAAAUGACAGCAGGAAAAUAGGAUUUUUAAGAUUUUAUUUAUUUUGAAAAUCUGGCUAUAAAAGCAAGUGAUGUAAUCCACAAAUUUUUACGUACACUGUUUCUGUACACACGCACAGAGAAUAGAGAAAAAGCAAUUUAAGAUUAGCAAAGGUGAUUUCAAGUUUUCUUUUGUCCUCUCUUAUGAAUUUUUUUAGUUUAUUUUUUCAUUUGAUUCAAAUUUUUUUUAGUAUGUGAGUUGAUCCCAAUGAAAGCCCGAAUACUUCAGAAAUACUGAGGUAAAGGCGAGGAAACAAGUAGUGAUGAUUCUUUGCUUUAUGAACCUAUUUUCGUUUUUAAAGAAAAUAAUGUGAGAUUUGAAGUUUUUUUUUAAAAAAAAUAAAAACGGGAGGAAGAAAAUACUUACUAAUUUUCUCUAAGCAUGGUCGAGCGCCUUCAACAGGGAGGAUGGGUACUGUUUGCAUGUUGAUUGAUCACCAAAACGAUGGUGGUUCGGCUGCUAACAAAAAAACCCUAGAAAUCUAAUUUUAAGGUUGUGAUUUUCGGCCAAACAGUGGGGCUGCGUUU